rnacentral:tRNA from 1 species
AUAUCACAAAUUUAACAGAACAUUGUAUUAGUAUUAGAAACUAAUUAAGAUAAU